UGUUUAUCAUGGAAUUAUAUGUAGAGGAUCCAUCUAAGAAACCAAGAAACAUACUUGAUGUUGGAUGCGGUAUUGGUGGCAGCACCAGGUACCUAGCAAGUAAAUACGGUGCUCAAGCCAAAGGCAUCACCCUCAGCCCUGUUGAGGCCGAAAGAGCUCGUGUUCUAACUGCUGCCCAAGGAUUGGAAAGUCAGGUUUCGUUUGAAGUGGCAGAUGCAUUGAAUCAGCCAUUUGCAGAUGGGUCAUUCGAUUUAAUUUGGUGUAUUGAAUGUGAAAAUCACAUAAGCGAUAAAACAAAGUUUGUUCAUGAGUUGAAUCGGGUGGCUGCCCUGGUGCUACUAUCAUUUUACUCACUUGGUGUCAUAGGGAUCUUUCGCCCCUUGAAAACGAUUUGCAUCCAGAUGAGAAAAAGUUGCUGACCCAAACGGGGAGCAGAAGUCGUGUUAAGUGGAUUUCUACUGCUGAUUACAUAAAUUUAUUCCAGUCAUGCUCUUUUCAGGAGAUCAAGUAUGCGGACUGGUCUCCACACGUUGCUCCAUAUUAUGCAGAACUGAGGAAGAUAACGUUGUCAUGGAAGGGAAUCAUGUCGUAUGUUAGACAUGCUGGAUGGAGGCAAAUGAGCAUCAAGUUUCUGAUGAUGCCGUCAGUGUUCGACACAUUCAAAAAUGGUCUGCUUAAGUAUUGCAUUCUUACGUGCCAGAAGCCUCAGUAGUUCAGUUCCAGUGAUGCUUAAUGUCCAUGCAUAAAUAUCACUCCACAGUCGAUAGUUCCUUGUUUUUUUUCUCAAAAGCUAAUUUGUACUUGUAUUGUUCCUCAAAACGUGAGAAUCUUUCUGAUUUUGAGAUUUACCAUUAGAAUUUUCCUUUUUUUUUUCUUUGGAAGAUCUACUAUAUUGUGCAAAUGCGUUGCACAA